AUUGUACAAUGUUCAAAUAUUUAUAGGAUUAAGAUGGGCAUGCGUGUCAUUAGCUAGUUGGCGGGGUAACGGCCCACCAAGGCGACGAUGACUAGGGGAUCUGAGAGGAUGACCCCCCACACUGGUACUGAGACACGGACCAGACUCCUACGGGAGGCAGCAGUAAGGAAUAUUGGUCAAUGGAGGCAACUCUGAACCAGCCAUGCCGCGUGCAGGAAGACAGCCCUCUGGGUCGUAAACUGCUUUUAUUCGGGAAUAAACCACAUUACGUGUAAUGUGCUGAAUGUACCGAAGGAAUAAGGAUCGGCUAACUCCGUGCCAGCAGCCGCGGUAAUACGGAGGAUCCAAGCGUUAUCCGGAUUUAUUGGGUUUAAAGGGUGCGUAGGCGGCUUAUUAAGUCAGGGGUGAAAGACGGUGGCUCAACCAUCGCAGUGCCUUUGAUACUGAUGAGCUUGAAUACACUAGAGGUAGGCGGAAUGUGACAAGUAGCGGUGAAAUGCAUAGAUAUGUCACAGAACACCGAUUGCGAAGGCAGCUUACUAUGGUGUGAUUGACGCUGAGGCACGAAAGCGUGGGGAUCAAACAGGAUUAGAUACCCUGGUAGUCCACGCCCUAAACGAUGAAUACUCGCUGUUAGCGAUAUACAGUUAGCGGCUAAGCGAAAGCGUUAAGUAUUCCACCUGGGGAGUACGCCCGCAAGGGUGAAACUCAAAGGAAUUGACGGGGGCCCGCACAAGCGGAGGAGCAUGUGGUUUAAUUCGAUGAUACGCGAGGAACCUUACCCGGGCUUGAAAGUUAGUGAAUCAUUUAGAGAUAGAUGAGUCCGCAAGGACACGAAACUAGGUGCUGCAUGGCUGUCGUCAGCUCGUGCCGUGAGGUGUUGGGUUAAGUCCCGCAACGAGCGCAACCCCUAUGUUUAGUUGCCAGCACGUUAUGGUGGGGACUCUAAACAGACUGCCUGUGCAAACAGAGAGGAAGGAGGGGACGACGUCAAGUCAUCAUGGCCCUUACGUCCGGGGCUACACACGUGCUACAAUGGAUGGUACAGAGGGCAGCAAGCUGGCAACAGCAAGCGAAUCUCAAAAAGCCAUUCACAGUUCGGAUAGAGGUCUGCAACUCGACCUCUUGAAGUUGGAUUCGCUAGUAAUCGCGUAUCAGCAAUGACGCGGUGAAUACGUUCCCGGGCCUUGUACACACCGCCCGUCAAGCCAUGGAAGUUGGGGGUACCUAAAGUAUGUAACCGUAAGGAGCGUCCUAGGGUAAAACCGAUAACUGGGGCUAAGUCGGAACAAGGUAGCCGUACCGGAAGGUGCGGCUG
rnacentral:rRNA from 1 species